rnacentral:rRNA from 1 species
UACGAAGGGGGCGAGCGUUGUUCGGAUUUACUGGGCGUAAAGGGCGCGUAGGCGGCCCUUCAAGUCAGGCGUGAAAGCCCCGGGCUCAACCUGGGAGGUGCGCUUGGGACUGGAGGGCUGGAGUUCGGGAGAGGAGCGUGGAAUUCCCAGUGUAGAGGUGAAAUUCGUAGAUAUUGGGAAGAACACCGGUGGCGAAGGCGGCGCUCUGGACCGAGACUGACGCUGAGGCGCGAAAGCAUGGGGAGCGAACAGG